GUAAUGGGUGAGGUCAGAAUGGGGCAGGAUGAAGUCACAAUGGAAUACAUGGGUUUGUAGCAGGAGGUGACCAGGCUGAGGUGAGGCCACAGUGACCCCAUGAGAUCGGUGCCCUCACACAAAGAGACACGAGACAGACACGCAGAGGAGACCCACGUGACGCCGGAAGCACAGCCUGCGUCCACCAGCUGACCGGAAGCAAGGAUCUCGCUUCUCCUCCUGGACCAGAGAGGGCAAAGAAAAGUAAGCGGACCAGGAACUUUUGAUCCUCCUGCCUCAGCCUUCUGAGUGGCUGGACCCGAAGGUUGCACCACCACAACCGCCUGAAUCACACUCUCUUCCAACUGCUAGCACUGUGCUGCAGCCUCCGGCGGAGACACAAGUGCGGGGUGCGAGCUGACUGGGACCCCACGGCCCGGUGGGCAGCCUUGGACAGCAGGCAGAACGACUACGCGGCAUGGCAGAAAUAAAUGCACCCCGGAGCACUGACAGCAGGGCGAAACUGCACUCGGAGCACACCAGAGACAAGGGCCCGGGAGACACCCACCGGCUCCAAGGACACAUGUAAGGUGUGAGCAGAACAAACAGUGAAAGUUUCUGUGUGGAUGAAAGUUUACUUCUAAGGCCGCGCAUCCUGGCGUUCAUUAAAUCAGAGGAAAAUGAGAAGUGGAAUUUUGUAUAUAAAUUAUGUGAAGGACACACCGCCAUUCCCUCCCUCAGAGUCCUCGCCCUCACUGUGAACUCGCUUCUCCCGCCACUUCCGGGCAGCUCGGCCAGUCCUCUUUCCUGAGCAUCCUGUCACAGCUACCUUACGUCCCAGGACAUGGAGGCAGCAGUGAUCGUGCAGCCAAAGAC